UGCCAGCAGCCGCGGUAAUACGGAGGGGGCUAGCGUUGUUCGGAAUUACUGGGCGUAAAGCGCGCGUAGGCGGGCUGGUCAGUUGGGGGUGAAAUCCCGAGGCUCAACCUCGGAACUGCCCUCAAUACUGCCAGUCUAGAGUUCGAGAGAGGUGAGUGGAAUUCCUAGUGUAGAGGUGAAAUUCGUAGAUAUUAGGAAGAACACCAGUGGCGAAGGCGGCUCACUGGCUCGAUACUGACGCUGAGGCGCGAAAGCGUGGGGAGCAAACAGGAUUAGAUA
rnacentral:rRNA from 1 species